rnacentral:rRNA from 1 species
GAUGAACGCUGGCGGCGUGCCUAAUACAUGCAAGUCGAGCGAAUGGAUUAAGAGCUUGCUCUUAUGAAGUUAGCGGCGGACGGGUGAGUAACACGUGGGUAACCUGCCCAUAAGACUGGGAUAACUCCGGGAAACCGGGGCUAAUACCGGAUAACAUUUUGAACCGCAUGGCUCGAAAUUGAAAGGCGGAUUCGGCUGUCACUUAUGGAUGGACCCGCGUCGCAUUAGCUAGUUGGUGAGGUAACGGCUCACCAAGGCAACGAUGCGUAGCCGACCUGGGAGGGUGAUCGGCCACACUGGGACUGAGACACGGCCCAGACUCCUACGGGAGGCAGCAGUAGGGAAUCUUCCGCAAUGGACGAAAGCCUGACGGAGCAACGCCGCGUGAGUGAUGAAGGCUUUCGGGUCGUAAAACUCUGUUGUUAGGGAAGAACAAGUGCUAGUUGAAUAAGCUGGCACCUUGACGGUACCUAACCAGAAAGCCACGGCUAACUACGUGCCAGCAGCCGCAGUAA